rnacentral:lncRNA from 1 species
CAAAAUGUUCAAAUUACAAUAAAAAUUAUAUGAAGAACAAGGAAGAUAACUUUAACUAAAACGUUAAUCAAUAGAUGCCAACACCAAGAUAACAGAGAUGGUAGAAUUAUAUGACAGAGAUUUUAAACAACCAUCAUAAAAAUGCUUCAGUGAGUAAUUAUAAAUGUGUUUGAAACAAAUGAGAAAAGAGAGAGCCUCGGCAAAGAAUAGAAAAUCUCUGAAAAGAAAGAGAAGAUAUAAAGAAGAAGCAGAUGGAAAUUUUAGAAACAAAAAAUAAAGUAACUGAAAUUAAAAACAAAAAACCUCAGUGUCUGGACUCAAUGGCAGAAUGGAAGGAACAGAAGAAAGAAUCAGUGAACUGGAAUGCAGAGCAGUAGAAAUUAACCAAUCUAAACAACAGAGAGGAAAUAGACAGAAAAUGAACAGAACCACAGGUACCUGUGGAAUUAUAACAAAAGAUCAAACAUUCACAUAAUUGGAGUCCUGGAAGGAAGAGAGGAAGAGGUCAAGACUAAAAUAUAUUUGAAAGAAUAGUAUCUGAAAUCUUUCCAAAUUUGGCAAAAGAUAAAAACCUACAUAUUAGAGAAGCUAAGUGAAUCCCAUAGAAAAGAAAUGUAAAGAAAUCCACACUAAGGCAAAUUAUAAUUGAAUUUCUGAAACUAAAGACAAAGUCUUGAAAGCAGCCAGGCUAUAGUGGAAAUGCAAUUUGAAUGACUGACUUUCUCAUCACAAAUCAUAGAGACCUAAAGAAAGUGGCACAACAUUUUUUCAUGUGCCAAAAGAAAAGAACUGUCAAUCCAGAAUCCUAUAUCCCCCAAGAGGUCUUUCAGGAAUGAAGCACUUGGUGUGAUUGUUAGUAGCUGCAAAUGGGAUUAGAGAGGAUCAAAACUGGAAGAAGCCUGAAAUCUGGAGAAGAAUGGUGAGAGUUGAUGCAAAGAAAUGCCCUACCUAUUCAGAUCACCUAAGAAAAUAUUUGGGGACCUUGUUGAGGAUUCCCUCAGAGAUUACUUUUCCUGAAUCUUCAUUCUCAC